CCUACGGGAGGCAGCAGUGGGGAAUAUUGGUCAAUGGAGGAGAGUCUGAAGCAGCGAAGUAGCGUGAAGGAUGACUUCCCUAUGGAUUGUAAACUUCUUUUAUAUGGGAAUAAAACGUUCCACGUGUGGGAGUUUGUAUGUACAAUAUGAAUCCGGAUCGGCUAACUCCGUGCCAGCGGCAGCGGUAAUACGGAGGAUCCGGGCGUUAACCGGAUUGAUUGGGUGUAAAGGGAGCGUAGGUGGAUUGUUAAGUCAGUUGUGAAAGUUUGCGGCUCAACCGUAAAAUUGCAGUUGAAACUGGCAUUCUGGAGUACAGUAGAGGUGGGCGGAAUUCGUGGUGUAGCGGUGAAAUGCGUAGAUAUCACGAAGAACUCCGAUUGCGAAGGCAGUUCACUGGACUGCAACUGACACUGAGGCUCGAAAGUGUGGGUAUCAAACAGGAUUAGAUACCCUUGUAGUC
rnacentral:rRNA from 1 species